GACGAACGCUGGCGGCGUGCCUAAUACAUGCAAGUCGAGCGAGCGGCGGACGGGUGAGUAAUGUCUGGGAAACUGCCUGAUGGCGGGGGAAAACUAGUGGAACCGGUAGCUAAUACCGCAUACCAUCAGCUGUGCCCAGAUGGGAUUAGCCAGUAGGUGGGGUAAUGGCUCACCAAGGCGACGAUCCCUAGCUGGUCUGAGAGGCUGACCGGCCACACUGGAACUGAGACACGGUCCAGACUCCUACGGGAGGCAGCAGUGGGGAAUCUUGCGCAAUGGGCGCAAGCCUGAGGGAGCCAUGCCGCGUGUGUGAAGAAGGCCUUCGGGUUGUAAAGCACUUUCAGCAGGGAGGCGUUACUCGCACAGGAAGCACCGGCUAACUCCGUGCCAGCAGCCGCGGUAAUUC
rnacentral:rRNA from 1 species